ACGCUGUAAACGAUGUCGACUUGGAGUUUGUGCCCUUGAGGCGUGGCUUCCGGAGCUAACGCGUUAAGUCGACCGCCUGGGGAGUACGGCCGCAAGGUUAAAACUCAAAUGAAUUGACGGGGGCCCGCACAAGCGGUGGAGCAUGUGGUUUAAUUCGAUGCAACGCGAAGAACCUUACCUACUCUUGACAUCCACGGAACUUGGUAGAGAUACCUUGGUGCCUUCGGGAACCGUGAGACAGGUGCUGCAUGGCUGUCGUCAGCUCGUGUUGUGAAAUGUUGGGUUAAGUCCCGCAACGAGCGCAACUCUUAUCCUUUGUUGCCAGCGAGUCAUGUCGGGAACUCAAAGGAGACUGCCGGUGAUAAACCGGAGGAAGGUGGGGAUGACGUCAAGUCAUCAUGGCCCUUACGAGUAGGGCUACACACGUGCUACAAUGGCAUAUACAAAGAGAAGCAAACUCGCGAGAGCCAGCGGACCUCAUAAAGUAUGUCGUAGUCCGGAUUGGAGUCUGCAACUCGACUCCAUGAAGUCGGAAUCGCUAGUAAUCGUAGAUCAGAAUGCUACGGUGAUACGUUCCCGGGCCUUGUACACACCGCCCGUCACACCAUGGGAGUGGGUUGCAAAAGAAGUA
rnacentral:rRNA from 1 species